rnacentral:rRNA from 1 species
GGGGGGACGGAGAAGGCUAUGUUGGCCGGGCGACGGUUGUCCCGGUUUAAGCGUGUAGGCUGGUUUUCCAGGCAAAUCCGGAAAAUCAAGGCUGAGGCGUGAUGACGAGGCACUACGGUGCUGAAGCAACAAAUGCCCUGCUUCCAGGAAAAGCCUCUAAGCAUCAGGUAACAUCAAAUCGUACCCCAAACCGACACAGGUGGUCAGGUAGAGAAUACCAAGGCGCUUGAGAGAACUCGGGUGAAGGAACUAGGCAAAAUGGUGCCGUAACUUCGGGAGAAGGCACGCUGAUAUGUAGGUGAAGUCCCUCGCGGAUGGAGCUGAAAUCAGUCGAAGAUACCAGCUGGCUGCAACUGUUUAUUAAAAACACAGCACUGUGCAAACACGAAAGUGGACGUAUACGGUGUGACGCCUGCCCGGUGCCGGAAGGUUAAUUGAUGGGGUCAGCGCAAGCGAAGCUCUUGAUCGAAGCCCCGGUAAACGGCGGCCGUAACUAUAACGGUCCUAAGGUAGCGAAAUUCCUUGUCGGGUAAGUUCCGACCUGCACGAAUGGCGUAAUGAUGGCCAGGCUGUCUCCACCCGAGACUCAGUGAAAUUGAACUCGCUGUGAAGAUGCAGUGUACCCGCGGCAAGACGGAAAGACCCCGUGAACCUUUACUAUAGCUUGACACUGAACAUUGAGCCUUGAUGUGUAGGAUAGGUGGGAGGCUUUGAAGUGUGGACGCCAGUCUGCAUGGAGCCGACCUUGAAAUACCACCCUUUAAUGUUUGAUGUUCUAACGUGGACCCGUGAUCCGGGUUGCGGACAGUGUCUGGUGGGUAGUUUGACUGGGGCGGUCUCCUCCUAAAGAGUAACGGAGGAGCACGAAGGUUGGCUAAUCCUGGUCGGACAUCAGGAGGUUAGUGCAAUGGCAUAAGCCAGCUUGACUGCGAGCGUGACGGCGCGAGCAGGUGCGAAAGCAGGUCAUAGUGAUCCGGUGGUUCUGAAUGGAAGGGCCAUCGCUCAACGGAUAAAAGGUACUCCGGGGAUAACAGGCUGAUACCGCCCAAGAGUUCAUAUCGACGGCGGUGUUUGGCACCUCGAUGUCGGCUCAUCACAUCCUGGGGCUGAAGUAGGUCCCAAGGGUAUGGCUGUUCGCCAUUUAAAGUGGUACGCGAGCUGGGUUUAGAACGUCGUGAGACAGUUCGGUCCCUAUCUGCCGUGGGCGCUGGAGAACUGAGGGGGGCUGCUCCUAGUACGAGAGGACCGGAGUGGACGCAUCACUGGUGUUCGGGUUGUCAUGCCAAUGGCACUGCCCGGUAGCUAAAUGCGGAAGAGAUAAGUGCUGAAAGCAUCUAAGCACGAAACUUGCCCCGAGAUGAGUUCUCCCUGACCCUUUAAGGGUCCUGAAGGAACGUUGAAGACGACGACGUUGAUAGGCCGGGUGUGUAAGCGCAGCGAUGCGUUGAGCUAACCGGUACUAAUGAACCGUGAGGCUUAACC